GACGAACGCUGGCGGCGUGCUUAACACAUGCAAGUCGAACGAAGUGGCGAACGGGUGAGUAACGCGUAAUCAACCUGCCCUUCAGAGGGGGACAACAGUUGGAAACGACUGCUAAUACCCCAUACUGACGGAGGGGCUUGCGUCUGAUUAGCUCGUUGGGGGGGUAACGGCCCACCAAGGCGAUGAUCAGUAGCCGGGUCGGAGGGGUGGACGGCCAAAAUGGGACUGGGACACGGCCCAGACUUCUUAGGGGGGGAGCAGGGGGGAAUUUUUCGCAAGGGACGAAAGUCUGACUGAGCAAAGCCGGGGUGGUGAUGACGGCCUUCGGGUUGUAAAGCUCUGUUAAGCGGGAAGCGGUACCGGAAGAGAAAGCCACGGCUAACUACGUGCCAGCAGCCGCGGUAAUAC
rnacentral:rRNA from 1 species